rnacentral:lncRNA from 1 species
GUGCAAACAGCUCAGCAAUAACAGGACAUUUGCUGAGCUCUGAGGAAGCUGAUAAGAAGGCUCACUAACCCGGGAUGGAACACUCACUAAAUCUGGAUUAGAGCUGCCUGCAUCACAGACUGGGAGCUCCUUGAAGGCAGGACUUGCGCCGCCCUCCUCCCUCUCCGGCUCUUCGGAUGCUCUGGGUGAGCCCUGCCUUGUGUGCAGGGCCGAGGCUCUGCACUUUGUGGACAAUUUGGGCGCGGGGCUCCUUUUCCUGAAGAGUUACCAUCAGGGCUAAACCAGCACGUGUCCUGCCUGCUGGAGGGAUCACAUUUCCUGAAACAACAGUGGGCUGGUGUGAGGCGGGGAAACCCGGAGGGGAAAUUGCCAUAAGCACGGGUCUGUGACGUCUGCCGGGCUGGGGAUUUGCCCCGAGCGAAGUGGGCUUCCUCUGGGUGCCUCAUGUCAUUUUGCAGGACACAGAGUUUCAUUUUACAUUUUUCUGCCGCAUGCGGUGUAGGAUAAAGGUCAGGCCUGGACUCUGUUCUCUGCCUGCUGGCCUUUCAACUUCCUGGCUUGCGCUUCGUCUCAGAACAGGGGCCAACUCCUUUGUUAUGAGGAUGAGAGGAAAUAAUUUGACCAGGAUCUGGCUCUUUUGACUCUCAGUCCAGUGCUCAGCACCAGGCUGUCUUUCUGGGGUGCUGGGGAGGGGACGCAAAGGAGGACGACCUGAGGCAGGAGGUUUACCCACGCCCUGAGCACUGGCGGCAAUGACUGAUUGUUGCUUCUCUUUUCAGCGGAGGUGACAGAAAGUGUCAAAGCCAACUAUUCACUGGAGGCAAAGUCUGAACACUUCAAAUGAGAUUUAGUGACUCAUCCGUGGGCAGGCCAGGGCUCUGAGAAUCCCUGCAGGUUAUACACUGACAGUCCAGCUAAUCUUAGGAAGAGGGACAAGAAUUGGAAACCAAGGCGUGGAGAGCUUAAGUAAGCUGCCCAAGGUCACUCAGCUAGUGAAUGGUGGAGCUGGGAGUCUCACCCGGCAGGAGGCCAGCGAGGCUGGAGCUGGUGGGUGAGGACCAGAAUGGCAGGAGAUCGAGCCACGUGGAGGGUCUGGGUCACGUCCAGCCUUGCAGGCCAUGGAAAAGGCAUUGAAUUUUAUCCUAUGUGCCAUGAGAAAUCGUUGAAAAGAUUUGAGCAGGAUAGUGCAUGACUUAAUGUGUGCGUGAAAAAGCCUGUGAUGAACUUUGUUCUUUUAAAAAUAAAAUCAUUAUAAUUUAUGAUUGUGAAACCUACAUGUUCAUUUGGAAAACACAGAAAAGCAUAAAAUCGAAAACCAAAAUCACCUCUAAUCCCACCCUCCGAAGAAAACAGGCCUCAGCCACAAAGAACCAGCCAUCCUGGCCAACUCAGAAUGUGGAGACAUCGUCCUUCUGUGCUGUUCCAUGCACAUUUCUCCUCCUCAUCUUCCCUUCUGCCUUGACUGGAUCAUAAUUCUGACGUGAGAGGAUGAGUACGUUGUAUGCUUGGCCUAUCCCAACUGUUCAUAAUUACAAUACACCACCAAUUUUGUAUCAGGCAAAGCACUUUUUAUAUGCAUCCUUUAAAUUAAUCCUACCUACAGUCCUCUGAGGGGAGUCAUAUUAGCUCUUUUACUGAUGGAGAAAUGGAAGUUCAGAGAAGUAACAACAGCUAGAAAGUGGCAGAGCCAGUUGACCUUGAGUACGUCAGACCCCAAAUUGCAUGCGUUUAAUCCCUUCUUACAGCCUAUGUCCCCUUAAAACUCUCUAUCAUCAAUCCACUUUGUUGGUGGUAGUAGUUUACUCUCCACCUGACCCUAGGAUUGGGCUGGGCUGAGGUACAAGCACAGGUUGUUGGUGAGGCCAACCAGCCCUAAAGCCAGGGGUAUUUAAGAUGUGCAAACAGUGGGUAGGUGCUUGGAGGGCAGAUAGUCAAAUGCCAGGAACGCAGGCUGAAGAGCUACCAUGCAGAUCCAUUAGGGAGAGAAAGCUGGUUUGGGGGAAGCAGGACCACCUCCCGUGAUAAGAUCAGGGCUGAAAGUCUGAAUCCUCAUACCCGUCAGGGCCUCCACCACAGCUGGAUCAGGUUAGAGUAACUUCCCCAAAGCAGCUGGGAAAAUUCCCAGGAUGCCAGGCCGCCAGGCAGUGUUCUGUUCCUGGGGAGAGCCGACCCUGCCGCUUCUCCCUCCCUCCCAUUCAUGGAAAAGUACAGGCAGUGCUGGUGCCCCGCAAGCCUUCAGGCAAAUGCCUGGCUGCCCUCUGGACUCACAACUGCAAGCUCUGACUGGUUUGUCCUUGGUCCAGGGCUGGAGGAAAAUAGUUUCCAAAAAAAGCAGUUUAAAAAAAUGUGGAAAAUAUCCACAAGCCCAGUGUCUGCACAGAGUGGGAGUGGGAGGCCUUGUAGAUGGGCUUGCAGCCGAGGAUUCCACAGUCCUCUUUGCGAAGAGGCAGGGAAGGAAUGUGAAACCCUACCACCCGGAGGCGGAGAAAUGCACAGUAUGCCUUUCACUUUCUGCCCGCUCUGGGAAGGGGUCAGGGACGUGGGUCAUGCUGGGAAGUCACAGCUUCCUGAGAGGCUGCCUCAGACAGGAGUGGUUGGUUCACCAGGUGGGUGAGUCCAGACACCUGAUCUGUUAUCUUCCACAUCUGAGUGAAGUCAUGGAAGAUAAUGAAUAUGUGGAUAAAGAGAACAGAUUUGUGGUUACCAGAGGGAAAGGGGGUUGGAGGGUGGGCAAAAGGGGUAAAG